UCCCUGAUGGUCCAGUGGAUAAGACUCUGUGCUCCCAAUGUAGGAGACCUGGGUUCAAUCCCUGGCCAGGGAA
rfam:TPA: Bos taurus chromosome 27, whole genome shotgun sequence.